rnacentral:rRNA from 1 species
UAGGGAAUCUUCGGCAAUGGACGAAAGUCUGACCGAGCAACGCCGCGUGAGUGAAGAAGGUUUUCGGAUCGUAAAACUCUGUUGUUAGAGAAGAACAAGGACGUUAGUAACUGAACGUCCCCUGACGGUAUCUAACCAGAAAGCCACGGCUAACUACGUGCCAGCAGCCGCGGUAAUACGUAGGGGGCAAGCGUUGUCCGGAUUUAUUGGGCGUAAAGCGAGCGCAGGCGGUUUCUUAAGUCUGAUGUGAAAGCCCCCGGCUCAACCGGGGAGGGUCAUUGGAAACUGGGAGACUUGAGUGCAGAAGAGGAGAGUGGAAUUCCAUGUGUAGCGGUGAAAUGCAUAGAUAUAUGGAGGAACACCAGUGGCGAAGGCGGCUCUCUGGUCUGUAACUGACGCUGAGGCUCGAAAGCGUGGGGAGCAAACAGG